rnacentral:rRNA from 1 species
GACAGAGGGUGCAAACGUUGUUCGGAAUUACUGGGCGUAAAGCGAGUGUAGGCGGUUUGGUAAGUCGGAUGUGAAAGCCCCGGGCUCAACCCGGGAAGUGCACUCGAUACUGCCAAGCUAGAGUAUCGGAGAGGUUGGUGGAAUUCUCGGUGGAGCGGUGAAAUGCGUAGAGAUCGGAAAGAACACCAACGGCGAAAGCACUCUGCUGGGCCGACACUGACACUGAGAGACGAAAGCUAGGGGAGCGAAUGGG